rnacentral:lncRNA from 1 species
AAAUCAACCAUGAUCAAGGCUAAAUAGAAGAUGAAAUAACACAAGGUCAAUCAAAUGGCUCAACAAUAUUUUUAAACAUUUAAACAAUUAAAAAUCAAUUUAAAAAUGAAAUAAAAUGCAUUUUCAAAAGGUAAAAACCUUAAAUCCUUUCAAAUCACCAAAUAAAUGGCCAAGGGGUUUAUCCUAGGUCAAACAAGGUCAAAGGACCUUAAACAAAAAU